UACUGGCAUUGUUGGUCUCUCCCUUCUGACGAACCAUGAUGUCAUUUAUUUGGUGUUGUGGGGAAUCAGGACUGUUACUUUGAAAAAAUUAGAGUGUUUAAAGCAGGCUCACGCUUGAAUACAUUAGCAUGGAAUAAUGAAAUAGGACGUUUGAUUCUAUUUUGUUGGUUUCUAGGAUCGACGUAAUGAUUAAUAGGGAUAGUUGGGGGCAUUAGUAUUCAAUUGUCAGAGGUGAAAUUCUUGGAUUUAUUGAAGACUAACUACUGCGAAAGCAUUUGCCAAGGAUGUUUUCAUUAAUCAAGAACGAAAGUUAGGGGAUCGAAGACGAUCAGAUACCGUCGUAGUCUUAACCAUAAACUAUGCCGACUAGGGAUCGGAUGAUGUUAAUUUUUUAAUGACUCAUUCGGCGCCUUACG
rnacentral:rRNA from 1 species